rfam:HIV-1 isolate T14788 from Cameroon gag protein (gag) gene, complete cds; pol protein (pol) gene, partial cds; and vif protein (vif), vpr protein (vpr), truncated tat protein (tat), rev protein (rev), vpu protein (vpu), envelope glycoprotein (env), an
AUUAUGGCUCAUGAUGGACAUAGGAAGAAAAGGGCAGCAGGCCUAGGAAUGCUAUUCCUUGGGUUUCUGAGCGCAGCAGGAAGCACUAUGGGCGCAGCGGGAAUCACGCUGACGGUACAGGCCAAGCAAUUAUUGCAUGGUAUAGUGCAGCAGCAGAACAAUAUGCUAAGAGCUAUAGAGGCACAGCAAGAAUUGCUGAGACUCUCUGUGUGGGGCAUAAGACAGCUCCGAGCUCGCCUGCUUGCCAUUGAAACCUAUUUAAGGGAUCAGCAACUCCUAGGACUGUGGGGAUGCUCAGGACAAAUARUAUGUUAUACUAAUGUGCCAUGGA